UGGGACUGACUAAGGCUGGGGAUGGGACAGGGACUGACUAAGGCUGGGACUGGGACUGACUAAGGCUGGGGAUGGGACAGGGACUGACUAAGGCUGGGAUGGGACAGGGACUGACUAAGGCUGGGGAUGGGACUGACUAAGGCUGGGGAUGGGACUGACUAAGGCUGGGGAUGGGACUGACUAAGGCUGGGGAUGGGACAGGGACUGACUAAGGCUGGGGAUGGGACUGACUAAGGCUGGGGAUGGGACAGGGACUGACUAAGGCUGGGGAUGGGAGAGGGACUGACUAAGGCUGGGGAUGAGACAGGGACUGACUAAGGCUGGGGAUGGGACAGGGACUGACUAAGGCUGGGGAUGGGACUGACUAAGGCUGGGGAUGGGACAGGGACUGACUAAGGCUGGGGAUGGGACUGGGACUGAAAGGCUGGGGAUGGGACUGACUAAGGCUGGGGAUGGGACUGACUAAGGCUGGGGAUGGGACAGGGACUGACUAAGGCUGGGGAUGGGACUGACUAAGGCUGGGGACAGGGACUGACUAAGGCUGGGGAUGGGACAGGGACUGACUAAGGCUGGGGAUGGGACAGGGACUGACUAAGGCUGGGGCUGGGACAGUGACUGACUAAGGCUGGGGCUGGGACAGGGACUGACUAAGGCUGGGGAUGGGACAGGGACUGACUAAGGCUGGGGC